GAUGAACGCUGGCGGCGUGCUAACACAUGCAAGUCGAACGGUGAACGAGGGAGCUUGCUCCCUCCGGAUCAGUGGCGAACGGGUGAGUAACACGUGAGCAAUCUGCCCCGGACUCUGGGAUAAGCGUUGGAAACGACGUCUAAUACCGGAUACGAGACGCGAAGGCAUCUUCAGCGUCUGGAAAGAACUUCGGUCCAGGAUGAGCUCGCGGCCUAUCAGGUAGUUGGUGAGGUAACGGCUCACCAAGCCUACGACGGGUAGCCGGCCUGAGAGGGUGACCGGCCACACUGGGACUUGGACACGGCCCAGACUCCUACGGGAGGCAGCAGUGGGGAAUAUUGCACAAUGGGCGCAAGCCUGAUGCAGCAACGCCGCGUGAGGGACGACGGCCUUCGGGUUGUAAACCUCUUUUAGCAGGGAAGAAGCGAAAGCGACGGUACCUGCAGAGAAAGCACCGGCUAACUACGUGCCAGCAGCCGCGGUAAAAA
rnacentral:rRNA from 1 species